ensembl:snRNA U6 U6 spliceosomal RNA
UUGCUCUAUUUGGCAGCAUAUAUACUAAAAUUGGAACACUAGGGAGAAGACUAGCAUGGCCCCUGUGCAAAAGUGACUUACAAAUUUCUAAAGCAUUCCUUAUUUUU